GCUCAGUAUAAUAUUGGGCGGAUUGUUGUGGCGUGUGUUGGGCAGCCGAACCGGUGUCAGUGGAUCACGGGGACGGUGUGGACAAGGUAGUACGUGAUGAUGGCGGGAUUAGGACUGUGUGGCUUCGAGCCGCAUUCAAUUCGUCAUUAGAGCGACAAAAGACGUGGUUCCGACUCCCCCGAACGUCCGACAGCGGGUGAGUGGCGACGGCUGCUGUUAUUAAUUCUUUGACGCUGAAGACACAUUUAUUUCUCGUCAGGUUGUAGCCAGGGUGAGUUGGGCGCGCGACACUCAGCCUGGCGCCAUAAUGAAACGCGCGCAUUUUCGAGCGGCGCGCUCGAGAACGGCCGCGUGGAGGCGAGUUGCGCGGCUGGCCCGAUGGUGUUCAGAUGUUAUAGCGUAAAAGCGCGAGGAGGAGCGCGACGCCGCUGUCCUGACCUCAUGAAAAGUGUCUCACUCACUGCUUUAGCGCACAUUUACUAAAUGAUUUAUUUAGCAGCUCGGUUUGAACCGUAAUACACUAGGGCAGUCGCGGUAACUGGACCUACGCUUACACGACGAAAUUUCGGAAUGGACCGGGCGGUGGUGGUGCCGCUUGGCUUUGCGAGCUGAUCUUCAUCUUGCCUGAUAAGAAUGACUGCCAAAACAACAACACAACAACAACAAUAAAAACCAAGAGCAUUCGCGGAAUCUGCAUGUGUUGAUGAUGAUGUGUGUCGAAUUAUUUGAAUUUCUCAGAAAAAGCUUUUUUGUGUACGUUGGAGACGCACCCAGUUCUCAAUCCCACGAAAGAGUUGCGUGUUGGAAAAAGAUCUGCAAAAUGCAUACAGCACAAAUGUCUUAUGUGCUCCCGUUGCCCCCGAGAAUUUCCUGCAAAUGGGCUGAAAAAAAACUGACUGGACGAGUUGGGCUGAAGUGGGGAUUUUUUCUGCUCAUGGGACUCCUCUCAGGUGAUGAAGACAAGGAAGGAGCGUGCCAGAAAAACAGAGCUCGCUCACCUUAAAGACCGAGAUUCAGAAAAAGGAAAGGUGUCGGUGACAACAAAUAGCCGAAAUCGCUUGGUGUCACUUUUAUUUUGUCUGCCUUCGUGCUCCAGCUGAACUUGUCUGAUGAGUAUAGAUGGAGGGCCCUAUAUUGCAUGGGUGGAGGAACGUAAAAUGUAGUCCACAGUGCAGUGCUCUGGUUAAGGACACUUGUUUGUAUCCCACAGGUUCUCCAGAUAAAAAAAAAAAAAGAAAACAGUAGAAUUGAGUAUAAUUUAAGUUCUCUGGAGGGGAAAGCUAUCCAAACAAUAAUAAUUGUAUGUUUUUUAAUGAAAUGUGUAACUAUAGCACAUAGCGUGUGUGUGUGAUUGCAGGGCGAUGUAGUGGCGUCCUGUCCAGGGUGUACCCUACCUCGCUCCCUACGUUUCCGG
rnacentral:lncRNA from 1 species